AUUGAACGCUGGCGGCAUGCUUUACACAUGCAAGUCGAACGGUAACAGGCCGCAAGGUGCUGACGAGUGGCGAACGGGUGCGUAAUGCAUCGGAACGUGCCCAGUCGUGGGGGAUAACUACUCGAAAGAGUAGCUAAUACCGCAUACGAUCUAUGGAUGAAAGCGGGGGACCGUAAGGCCUCGCGCGAUUGGUGCGGCCGAUGUCAGAUUAGGUAGUUGGUGGGGUAAAGGCUCACCAAGCCAACGAUCUGUAGCUGGUCUGAGAGGACGACCAGCCACACUGGGACUGAGACACGGCCCAGACUCCUACGGGAGGCAGCAGUGGGGAAUUUUGGACAAUGGGCGCAAGCCUGAUCCAGCAAUGCCGCGUGCAGGAAGAAGGCCUUCGGGUUGUAAACUGCUUUUGUACGGAACGAAACGGCUCUGGUUAAUACCCGGGGCUAAUGACGGUACCGAAAGAAUAAGCACCGGCUAACUACGUG
rnacentral:rRNA from 1 species